rnacentral:lncRNA from 10 species
GUGAGCAAGUGAGCGUGGGAAACAGAGGGAAUGAACACUGGAACCAGCUGGUCACUCCUCUCUGGUGGGAGCAGGCUCUGUGCAGGCCUGUGGCAGCAUCCAAACCCCUGUCCUCUCGGCACUCAGGUUCUUGUUUGGUGUUCGGGAAGAAUCAGGGGUGCCCACCUGACAUGGCAGAGGAUGGGUCCAUGGUUAAGCCACUGCGCUCUCACCUAGAAGUGAGCACAAUGCACAUUGGAGAAAAGAGAGGAGGAAGAAGGAGUUGGGCAGAGACUCUCACCCCUCUGCAAACCAAGGCUCUGAGGCUGGGACCUACUACUCCUUCUGCUAGGAGGUGAGGAUGUGCAAUGGAAGUGAAUUAAAAUGGAUUGGACAAGACUUUGAAAAAAAAAAAACCCUGUGUCAUCCAAGAGAUGGAAUCAGAAUAGGAUCCCUAAGGGACUAGACGUUUAUGAGAAAAAUAAAGCAAUUUCAUGUUUGUUUCACUUGUUCCGUAAAGUAGUUGGCCACACAUGUCUAGGAUGAAUUACACCAAACCAAUCUAGCUUUUAUUUUUUAAUUCAAGACUUCUACACUCACCAUAGAUGGAUAAUUUCUCUAUGCUGAUAAAGCCUGUUAUAUGUUUCUUGCCAUGGUGUCUUUUUAGAAUGCAUAGAGAAAGAGGGAUAUAGGAUCUGAGCUCAAAGAGGACCCCAAAGGAUGUGGGAAAAAUGAAACGCUCAUACACUGUUGGUGAGAAUGGAAGUUAGUACAACCUCUGUGGAAAAUUGGAGAGUUCUCAAAGAAGGAAAAAUAGAACUACCCUUGGAUCUGGCAAUCCUACUACUGGUUGUUAUAUACCUGAAGGAAAAUAAAUCAUUAUAUAAAAAAGACACCUGGACUGUCAGCUGUAGCAGUAUUCACAAUAGCGAAGUCCUGGAAUCAACCCAAGUGCCCAUCACCAGAUGAUUGGAUUAAAAAGUGGUACAUACAUACAUCAUGGAAUACAACUCAGCCAUAAAAAAGAAUGCAAUAUUGUCUUUUGCAGCAACAUGGAUAGAACUGGGGGCCAUUAUCCUUAGUGAAAUGGCCCAGAAACAGAAAAUCCAAAACUUCACUUUCUUACUUAUAUGUAGGUACCCCCAGACAUACAGAGGGAAAUAAUAGACACUGGAGACUCCAAAUGGUGGGCAGGUGGGAGGGGUGAGGGAUCACCUCUUGGGUUCAUUGUACACUAUU